rnacentral:rRNA from 1 species
CCUACGGGAGGCAGCAGUGAGGAAUAUUGGUCAAUGGACGCGAGUCUGAACCAGCCAAGUAGCGUGAAGGAUGACUGCCCUAUGGGUUGUAAACUUCUUUUAUAUGGGAAUAAAAUGUUCCACGUGUGGGAUUUUGUAUGUACCAUAUGAAUAAGGAUCGGCUAACUCCGUGCCAGCAGCCGCGGUAAUACGGAGGAUCCGAGCGUUAUCCGGAUUUUUUGGGUUUAAAGGGAGCGUAGGUGGAUUGUUAAGUCAGUUGUGAAAGUUUGCGGCUCAAACGUAAAAUUGCAGUUGAAACUGGCAGUCUUGAGUACAGUAGAGGUGGGCGGAAUUCGUGGUGUAGCGGUGAAAUGCUUAGAUAUCACGAAGAACUCCGAUUGCGAAGGCAGCUCACUGGACUGCAACUGACACUGAGGCUCGAAAGUGUGGGUAUCAAACAGGAUUAGAUACCCGUGUAGUC